rnacentral:rRNA from 1 species
AUUGAACGCUGGCGGCAUGCUUUACACAUGCAAGUCGAACGGUAACAGGCCGCAAGGUGCUGACGAGUGGCGAACGGGUGAGUAAUGCAUCGGAACGUGCCCAGUCGUGGGGGAUAACGCAGCGAAAGCUGUGCUAAUACCGCAUACGAUCUAUGGAUGAAAGCGGGGGACCGUAAGGCCUCGCGCGAUUGGAGCGGCCGAUGUCAGAUUAGGUAGUUGGUGGGAUAAAAGCUUACCAAGCCGACGAUCUGUAGCUGGUCUGAGAGGACGACCAGCCACACUGGGACUGAGACACGGCCCAGACUCCUACGGGAGGCAGCAGUGGGGAAUUUUGGACAAUGGGCGAAAGCAUGAUCCAGCCAUGCCGCGUGCAGGAUGAAGGCCUUCGGGUUGUAAACUGCUUUUGUACGGAACGAAAAGACUCUUUCUAAUAAAGAGGGUCCAUGACGGUACCGUAAGAAUAAGCACCGGCUAACUACGUGCCAGCCGCCGCCGUAACAC